rnacentral:rRNA from 1 species
GCUACACAUGCAGUCGAACGGCAGCACAGCAGUAGCAAUACUGUGGGUGGCGAGUGGCGGACGGGUGAGGAAUACAUGGGAAUCUGCCCUGUCGUGGGGGAUAACGUAGGGAAACUUACGCUAAUACCGCAUACGACCGGAAGGUGAAAGCGGCGGACCGCAAGGCGUCGCGCGACUGGAUGAGCCCAUGUCGGAUUAGCUAGUUGGCGGGGUAAAGGCCCACCAAGGCGACGAUCCGUAGCUGGUCUGAGAGGAUAAUCAGCCACACUGGAACUGAGACACGGUCCAGACUCCUACGGGAGGCAGCAGUGGGGAAUAUUGCGCAAUGGGGGCAACCCUGACGCAGCCAUGCCGCGUGUGUGAAGAAGGCCUUCGGGUUGUAAAGCACUUUAAGUGGGGAGAAAAGGGUGGCGGUUAAUAGCCGUUACCUGUGAUGUUACCCACAGAAUAAGCACCGGCUAACUCCGUGCCAGCAGCCGCGGUAAUACGGAGGGUGCGAGCGUUAAUCGGAAUUACUGGGCGUAAAGCGCGCGUAGGCGGUUUGUUAAGUCAGCUGUGAAAGCCCCGGGCUCAACCUGGGAACUGCAGUUGAUACUGGCCGACUAGAGUACGAGAGAGGGAGGUAGAAUUCCAUGUGUAGCGGUGAAAUGCGUAGAUAUAUGGAGGAAUACCGGUGGCGAAGGCGGCCUCCUGGCUCGAUACUGACGCUGAGGUGCGAAAGCGUGGGGAUCAAACAGGAUUAGAUACCCUGGUAGUCCACGCUGUAAACGAUGUCUACUAGCCGU